rnacentral:pre_miRNA from 1 species
UGAUGUAUUACUGGGCAAUACUCCACUGGCAGUAGCUACUUAACUCGGUUGCAAAAUGUGAGCAUCCGAUUUCACAUGGCGUGUAAGCAAUGAGAGCUCACUGCCAAGGGAGAUUUGCCCUGCAAUCCAACU